GUGCCAGCAGCCGCGGUAAUACGGGGGGAGCAAGCGUUGUUCGGAUUUACUGGGCGUAAAGGGCGCGUAGGCGGCCACGACAAGUCAGUUGUGAAAUCUCUGGGCUUAACUCAGAGCGGUCAACUGAUACUGUCGGGCUAGAGUGCAGAAGGGGCAACUGGAAUUCUCGGUGUAGCGGUGAAAUGCGUAGAUAUCGAGAGGAACACCUGCGGCGAAGGCGGGUUGCUGGGCUGACACUGACGCUGAGGCGCGAAAGCUAGGGGAGCGAACGGGAUUAGAAACCCCUGUAGUCC
rnacentral:rRNA from 1 species